rnacentral:rRNA from 1 species
AGAAAAGGAGUGGCGAACGGGUGAGUAACACGUGGGUAACCUGCCCAUCAGAAGGGGAUAACACUUGGAAACAGGUGCUAAUACCGUAUAACAAUCGAAACCGCAUGGUUUCGGUUUGAAAGGCGCUUUUGCGUCACUGAUGGAUGGACCCGCGGUGCAUUAGCUAGUUGGUGAGGUAACGGCUCACCAAGGCAACGAUGCAUAGCCGACCUGAGAGGGUGAUCGGCCACAUUGGGACUGAGACACGGCCCAAACUCCUACGGGAGGCAGCAGUAGGGAAUCUUCGGCAAUGGACGCAAGUCUGACCGAGCAACGCCGCGUGAGUGAAGAAGGUUUUCGGAUCGUAAAACUCUGUUGUUAGAGAAGAACAAGGAUGAGAGUAAAAUGUUCAUCCCUUGACGGUAUCUAACCAGAAAGCCACGGCUAACUACGUGCCAGCAGCCGCGGUAAUA